CACCGGGAAGUAUUGUUUGUAUGUGUGCCUUCCAAGCACAGGGCCUGAUAGGUUUCAGUCUGGUGAC
rnacentral:tRNA from 1 species